rnacentral:lncRNA from 1 species
GCGCCCGACGACGCGCUCGACAUGCCAGUCGAUGAAAGAGUUCGCCGUCACCUUCACCCGAAGAAAGGAAGGUGCGGCGGUUGUGCUGAUUGCGCGACGAAGUGGCCGAGGAAGGCGACCGACUGCGCUGUCGGUGCAGCCUGUGGGUGUUGUGGGUUCAACAAGUGGGUUCACUUGCCGUGGACGCCAGAUGAAAAGGGGGCCUUGAAUGUUUCCUACGGCUGCCGGCGUCAUCGGAUGCGUGGACGGCAGCGUUGCCGUCAUCAUUGCACGGAAGGGCGACGAUCACAAGGCGGCAUUUUAUCCCCGCAAGGGACAUUAUGCCUACAUCGUCAUGCUAAUCUGCGACGAAGACAUGGGAAUCCUGCCGUGAACCACUGCGUCUGAGGUCAGACUACGACGCCCACGUCUGGUGGACAACGCGGCUGCGUGAGCGCAUCGAAGGGGCCCGGAUUGCCGCGGCCGUACCUUCUGGCCUCUAGGUGACAGAGGCUACAAACCAGGACCAUGGCUCCUGACACCUCUCCGAGGCUGUCCUCCCAGAAACGCUGUUAAAAAGGCAAGUGCUACACUGCACAUGCUGCAAUGCAGUCUGUAAUGAAGCGUUGUGCUGGGCUAUUGAGGAGCUGCUUCCGCUGCGUUCAGCAGUGCAGUUGUACCCUCCAUUAAGAAUCAGAAUAUGCAUCUCACAUUGCUGCAGCAUGUGCAGUGUUGCACUUGCCUUUGCAUUGCAGAAGGUGACAGAAAUGUUCAUUUCAGCGAUGAUUACAAUAGUGAGCAUGGCAGUGUUGUCAGAGAUGACCCCCAACCACUGCUUAGACAAGGAAGGUCAUAACGCUCCUCAUGUAUUCCUGGACAAGCUGUCCGCAGUGGUAAUCCGCUAUUUGGCUAACUACACCACUGACAACAGCACUAGGCAAGUGUCAUUUCAGUGAGAAACAUGUGCCUAAGAAGUAACAAUAAUAUAUGGGGUUUUCCGUGCCAAAACCGUGAUACAAUUCUGAGCCACACUGUAGUGGAGGACUGAAUUUAUCUUGACCACCUGUGGCUCUUUAACGUGAAUCUCAAUGUAAGUACAGCAGUGAUCCUGCAUGUUACCCUCAUGGAGAGGUGU